AACGAACGCUGGCGGCAAGCUUAACACAUGCAAGUCGAACGGAUUGUUCUCGUAGCUUGCUAUGAGAACAAUUAGUGGCAGACGGGUGAGUAAUGCAUAGGAAUCUACCUAGUAGUAUAGGAUAGCCACUAGAAGUGGUGGGUAAUACUGUAUAAUCCCUGCGGGGGAAAGAUUUAUCGUUACAUGAUGAGCCUAUGUUAGAUUAGCUAGUUGGGGGGGUAAUGGCCUACCAAGGCAGUGAUCUAUAGCUGGUCUGAGAGGAUGAUCAGCCACACUGGAAUUGAGACACGGUCCAGACUCCUACGGGAGGCAGCAGUGGGGAAUAUUGGACAAUGGGCGCAAGCCUGAUCCAGCUAUGCCGCGUGAGUGAGGAAGGCCUUAGGGUUGUAAAACUCUUCA
rnacentral:rRNA from 1 species